rnacentral:lncRNA from 1 species
GGAUAAGAUGUUUAGGCCUGAUUUGCAGAAGAGUCAAACACCAGCACCUCCCAUUGACAAGGAGAUGGGACAGAGUGAGAAACAGAUCUUUGUGUUAAAAAAUAAAAAAUAAUAAAAUAAUAAAAUAAUAAUAAAAAGCUCCCUUCAGCGUUUAUUUUUCUACACAGACUUCAACAGGUUCCUAAGAAACAUUGGAAUGGAAAAAAAAUUCACUCUCAAAGACCUAGGGCACAGGGACCUGCAGUAAAUACUUGAAAAGCAUCAGCACUCUUCUUGGCAUGCACAGAAUGAAACUGAGAGCUAUGCCCAACAAUUCAUAUAAAUGGCUAACAGCCCAAGAAGAGAUCACCCACGACCUACAGGGAAGAUGUCCCAUGCAUAAUUGUCCUCCCAGAGGUGGAUUUGUACCACACGGAACCCAGAACAAUGGGGAACUCAUGAGGUGGCAUAAAACCGUUCUCAAAAUGUGUCUCUUCUCCCUUCCCCCAACACAGAAAAGCAAGAAGGAACUUGCAAUCUGUGUUGUUUGGAGUGAAGUGUGGUAAUUGCAUCUACUGGGAUAUAUGUCACACACCAGGUAUGUGCAGAUUAAGACAUUUUACCAGUUAUGUUGAUUUUAGUAUAGGAAUGACUAGUUUUUCAAAACUAGUACAAGAAUUUUACAAUAAGAGAAAAGGGAUUGUGGCCAAAUAAUAUUCACAAGAGCCUAGUAAAAUACCCCUAUCCGGAGAACUAGAAAAGUAUUUUAAUGCUGUUUGCUG